AGCGAACGCUGGCGGCAGGCCUAACACAUGCAAGUCGAACGAACCCUUCGGGGUUAGUGGCGGGCGGGUGAGUAACACGUGGGAACGUGCCUUUAGGUUCGGAAUAACUCAGGGAAACUUGUGCUAAUACCGAAUGUGCCCUUCGGGGGAAAGAUUUAUCGCCCUUAGAGCGGCCCGCGUCUGAUUAGCUAGUUGGUGAGGUAAUGGCUCACCAAGGCUACGAUCAGUAGCUGGUCUGAGAGGAUGACCAGCCACAUUGGGACUGAGAUACGGCCCAAACUCCUACGGGAGGCAGCAGUGGGGAAUCUUGCGCAAUGGGCGAAAGCCUGACGCAGCCAUGCCGCGUGGAUGAUGAAGGUCUUAGGAUUGUAAAAUCCUUUCACCGGUGAAGAUAAUGACUGUAGCCGGAGAAGAAGCCCCGGCUAACUUCGUGCCAGCCGCCGCAGUAACAC
rnacentral:rRNA from 1 species